rnacentral:tRNA from 3 species
GGGAUCUUAGCUCAGCUGGGAGAGCAUCUGCCUUACAAGCAGGGGGUCACAGGUUCGAGCCCUGUAGGUCCCACUA